rnacentral:rRNA from 1 species
UACGUAGGGUGCGAGCGUUGUCCGGAAUUAUUGGGCGUAAAGAGCUCGUAGGCGGUCUGUCGCGUCUGCUGUGAAAUCCCGAGGCUCAACCUCGGGCUUGCAGUGGGUACGGGCAGGCUAGAAUUCGGUAGGGGAGACUGGAAUUCCUGGUGUAGCGGUGAAAUGCGCAGAUAUCAGGAGGAACACCGGUGGCGAAGGCGGGUCUCUGGGCCGAUAUUGACGCUGAGGAGCGAAAGCGUGGGGAGCAAACAGG